rnacentral:rRNA from 1 species
CAGCCGCCGCGGGAAAACAGAGGGUGCGAGCGUUAAUCGGAUUUACUGGGCGUAAAGCGUGCGUAGGCGGCUUUUUAAGUCGGAUGUGAAAUCCCUGAGCUUAACUUAGGAAUUGCAUUCGAUACUGGGAAGCUAGAGUAUGGGAGAGGAUGGUAGAAUUCCAGGUGUAGCGGUGAAAUGCGUAGAGAUCUGGAGGAAUACCGAUGGCGAAGGCAGCCAUCUGGCCUAAUACUGACGCUGAGGUACGAAAGCAUGGGGAGCAAACAGGAUUAGAUACCCGCGUAGUCCCUGUCUCUUAUAC